GAUGAACGCUAGCGGCAGGCCUAAUACAUGCAAGUCAAGGGGCCAGCAAUGGCACCGGCGCACGGGUGCGUAACACGUACACAACAUACCUUUAAGUGGGAGAUAGCAUCGGGAAACUGGUGGUAAUACCCCAUAAUAUUGCGAUGCGGCAUCACAUUGCAAUUAAAGUUUCGACGCUUAAAGAUUGGUGUGCGUCCGAUUAGCUAGUUGGCGGGGUAACGGCCCACCAAGGCUACGAUCGGUAGGGGGUGUGAGAGCAUGACCCCCCCACAUGGGUACUGAGACACGGACCCAACUCCUACGGGAGGCAGCAGUAAGGAAUAUUGGACAAUGGACGAAAGUCUGAUCCAGCCAUGCCGCGUGCGGGACGAAGGCCUUCGGUUGUAAACCGACUUUCAGCCGGAAGAAAUACGCCGUUUUUAAUUACAGACGGUGGAGUGACGGUACCGGAAGAAGAAGCACCGGCUAACUACGUGCCAGCAGCCGCGGUAA
rnacentral:rRNA from 1 species